AGGAAUGACGGGCGAUUUGUGCUAUUUUUAACUUUCUUUAAUUUUUUUAAUAAAAAUUUUUAAUUGCAGGUUCUUCUUCAAAAUUCUUUUUUACUAAAAGUGUCUCUUUAAAUCUUUUUUAUAUAUCUUGAUUUUUUUUAAAAAACUUAUUUUAAAAAUAUUUUAUUUUUCACAAUGAUGUAGGAGGAAAAAAAAAGUUCGUUUAAGUGUUGGGUAUCUAUUAAUUAAUAAGACCCCCUGCUUGAUAAAAUACCGCCAUUUAAAUUAGUUUUCUAAAUUUAAGUACUGUCUUAUUUUUUU
rnacentral:rRNA from 1 species